GACGAACGCUGGCGGCGUGCUUAACACAUGCAAGUCUAACGAGUGGCGAACGGGUGAGUAACACGUGGGUGACCUGCCCUGCACUUCGGGAUAAGCCUGGGAAAAUGGGUCUAAUACCGGAUAGUGUGGGAUGUGCCCGCGGCCUAUACGCUUGUUGGUUGGGUCAUGGCUACCAAGGCGCGACGGGUAGCCGGCCUUCGUGGGUGGACGGCCACAUGUGGAAUGAGACACGCCCCAGACGACGGCGGGAGGCAGCAGUUGGGAAUUGUGCACAAUGGGCGGAAGCCUGAUGCAGCAACGCCGCGUGAGUGACGAAGGUUUUCGGAUCGUAAAGCUCUGUUGUUAAGGAAGCGGUACUUAACCAGAAAGGGACGGCUAACUACGUGCCAGCAGCCGCGGUAAUAC
rnacentral:rRNA from 1 species